UACAGAGGGUGCGAGCGUUGUUCGGAAUUACUGGGCGUAAAGCGCACGUAGGCGGAUUGUUAAGUCGGGGGUGAAAUCCUGGAGCUCAACUUCAGAAUUGCCUUCGAUACUGGCUUUCUAGAGGCUGGAAGAGGUUAGUGGAAUUCCCAGUGUAGAGGUGAAAUUCGUAGAUAUUGGGAAGAACACCAGUGGCGAAGGCGGCUAACUGGUCCAGAUCUGACGCUGAGGUGCGAAAGCGUGGGGAGCAAACAGG
rnacentral:rRNA from 1 species